rnacentral:rRNA from 1 species
UACGAAGGGGGGCUAGCGUUGUUCGGAAUUACUGGGCGUAAAGCGCGCGUAGGCGGACAUUUAAGUCAGGGGUGAAAUCCCAGAGCUCAACUCUGGAACUGCCUUUGAUACUGGGUGUCUUGAGUAUGGAAGAGGUGAGUGGAAUUCCGAGUGUAGAGGUGAAAUUCGUAGAUAUUCGGAGGAACACCAGUGGCGAAGGCGGCUCACUGGUCCAUUACUGACGCUGAGGUGCGAAAGCGUGGGGAGCAAACAGG